CCCAGACUCCUACGGGAGGCAGCAGUGAGGAAUAUUGGUCAAUGGGCUCACGCCUGAACCAGCCAAGUCGCGUGAGGGAAGACUGCCCUAUGGGUUGUAAACCUCUUUUGUCAGGGAGCAAUUGGCGCUACGUGUAGCGUUAUCGAGAGUACCUGAAGAAAAAGCAUCGGCUAACUCCGUGCCAGCAGCCGCGGUAAUACGGAGGAUGCGAGCGUUAUCCGGAUUUAUUGGGUUUAAAGGGUGCGUAGGCGGAAUAUCAAGUCAGCGGUAAAAAUUCGGGGCUCAACCCCGUCGUGCCGUUGAAACUGAUGUUCUUGAGUGGGCGAGAAGUAUGCGGAAUGCGUGGUGUAGCGGUGAAAUGCAUAGAUAUCACGCAGAACUCCGAUUGCGAAGGCAGCAUACCGGCGCCCAACUGACGCUGAAGCACGAAAGCGUGGGUAUCGAACAGGAUUAGAUACCCUAGUA
rnacentral:rRNA from 1 species